rnacentral:lncRNA from 1 species
AUUUAGUCCCUCGGUAUGGUCCAUAAGACCCAAUACAUCUGAUCUCUUUUGACUUCUCCAAUUGUAUAUCCCACACCCACUCCUCAGUACAGACUCACUGAUGUGUCUUUUCUUCACAUAUGCUGUUGCUUUGCUUGGAACACUCUCUACCUUCCUUCCCCCAAAGACUUAUUUACUUAUUAUAUCCCCAUUUCCUUACUGCUUGCAACUUUGGGGUGGGGGGUCUCCCUGUCACUCCUGAGUUAACUCUGUUACAGCAGCUGGCAAAAUAUUACAAUCACCCGCUUAUCCCUUUGCCUUCCUAAACAGACUAUACAUUUUUGGAGGGCAGAGACUGGGAUUUUCAUUCCUGUACCCUCAGUUAUACAGGGCUCAUUAAAUGUCUUUAGAAUAAACAAAGAAAUCCUUUCUCUUUUACUUACACUUAAGUCCUGAGUCAGAUUUGGAUAAAAUAUGUAUAAGAAAUUCAAUUAAAGCAUCAGAAAAUUACAUGUUAGAAUAUUACCAGCUCAGCACCUCCAAACCCCCAUUCAAAAGCCAUAUGCAGACUAUUUUUGCUUUCACAAUAGAUUAAAGAAUGCAUAUAUCUUUUUCUACUAGUGAAUAAAAUUCUACAAAUCUUGGUAUUUUCCUUUCUUUUCAGGUUGCUAAGAAGCUCAAAGAAUUUAUGGUCACCUCAAUGUACUGCGACCAUAGGAGUUCUGGAGCCUCAUAUACUUGCUUCUUCCUAUAUCUUUGCUUUCAGAUGUUUAAAUUUUUUUAAAAUUAUAAAUGGAUACAAUACCUUUAUUUAAUUUAUUUUUUAAUGUGGUGUUGGGGACAGAACCCAGGGCCUCACGCAUGCUAGGCAAGCGCUUUACCACUGAGCCACAACCCUGGCCCCAUAUUUUUAUUUUAAUAGAUUUUUUUGAAUAUAUGUCUUUUGGAAAAAGUUUACAUGUUUAAAUAUAUCUACAUCUGUAUAUAUACACACAUAUUGAAACACUGAAUGUUAUUUCUUAUUAGCAUAGAAGCAAACAGAUGGUUAAGGUAACAAUGCAGAAGAGAAGAGCUGGAGCCACUGAGACCAAGUUUGUCUGCAGCUACAUAAGCCACUGUUAGGUUAGGAAUUUUCAACUGAAAACCAGAAAUUAGGUAGAUUUCAUUCAUCAGGGAAUGGAAUUUUUUUUUUUUUUUUUGCUGGUGCAGAGAAAUAUUUUGAGGACCUCCAACUCUUGUCUCACUGGCUCCUUUGUAUUAUUACAGAAAUUUUGCAAAAGAUGGUAUUGAAAAGAAAAUGUAAGCCUUUCCAAUAUUCAGUGAAUUAGAGAAUCAGAUCCUGGAUGCAGCUGACCAUCUGGCACAAGCCCCCUUCUUUCAACAAAGAGAUGGUGUGCCCUGUUUGAGUGUGGGCCUCCAUGAUUUAUUUCUCAAUUUCCCCCUAAAUCUGGUUACCAGGUCUGCUGGGUUUCCCACUGGACCUCUCCUCUUCUCCAUCUUCCUUUCAGACCUCUUCCUUUCCCAACUCUCCCUCUUCUGUUUCUACCUCCAUUCCAGCCUCCAUACCACUAGAUGACCCUGCUUAGGACCAGUCAGAGGCUUCCCACAGCUCACAGUUCAGGUCUGUACACACACCUGCAAGACUCCUGUAUCCUCUCUCGUGUUACUUCUAGCUGCACAUCCACAUAUUCUUUGCUCUGCCUGCAUUUCCUCCUGCUGCUGAUUGCCCAUGCUGUUCUGUUCUCUCUGUGCAGAGGCACCCCACUGUCUUUUCAUCACUGGGCUAAUGCUUGCUCUUCUUUGUAGACUCAGCCUCAGAUCGCUUCUUCUGAUGACCUGAACACCUUCCCUUGUGUUCCCAAAGCACCUUCAACUUCUCAUCAUAACUCUUGCUGCUGUCUGUCUCCCUCAUUAGGCUGUGAGUUACUUAAGAUCAGGGAGUAUUUACUGCUGAGCUCCUGGAAUACAGUUCUGCCUGACCAGAGAAGCCUCAGGAAAUGCUUAUUGAAUGAAGUGACUACUGAGGUGGACAUGCUUAGGAAAAGCAUCUGAAAGGGGCCUUGCUCACCACACCUUCCACAAAAUGUGAUAUGUGGGUCUCAUCAACUCCCACAGUCUAUUAUUUCUAUUAUUUUUUGUAAUCCUUCUAAACUUAUCAAAUCAUCCCCAUUCUUUCCCUUGUCUAAUUAAAAAGAAAUCCCUAAUCCAUUUUGGUUUGACUUAGAUUUGUUUUCAAGCUGAAAGCCAAUUGUCCUAAAUACCAUUUAUUAAAAAACUCUUCCCUUCUUUAUCACUUAUUUUUUCAUAUUCAAAUACAAUAGAGAAAUUUUUAAACAUAGAUAAGAAAAAAAAAACGAAUUCAAGUCACCCAUAAUCUUACAAUAUAGAUAAUCAUAAUUAUCAUUCUGAUGUAAACAAAGUGAUUUCCUUAGCUAACUUUAUUGUGCCAGAUUAACUGACAUUCUUCCACCUUCUGUAGAAUGUACUGGUUGAUGUCUAUUGCAUGCCGAAUGUUCCUGGAGAGGAGCCUAUAUUUGAAGCCUUGUGUACUCUGUUCUCAGCAUCAGUGGGUCGUGCUUGGCAAGAGUUAGCUGUGUUUAUUCCAGCAUGUUAUGCCAGGUGUGGUGGUUACUCUAAUGGUUUAUUUAAAUAUUAUGUAUACUGAUAAAAACAGUGAAUAGGAAAACAGUAGUUUCUGUGAAAACUAAUGCUUUGAAAAAUUGAAUGCUUUUGAAAGUUUCAAUAAAGGUAAAAUGCUAAAAAUACUAUUCUUGGAUUAGAAACAUAAACACUGGGAAGAAAUAUAAAAAUCCUGCAGUCUACAAUCAAUGGG